rnacentral:rRNA from 1 species
GGCUCAUUAUAACAGCUAUAAUUUACUUGACCUUGACCAGUUACUUGGAUAACUGUGGUAAUUCUAGAGCUAAUACAUGCACCGAAGUUGUUCCUCGCGGAGCAAUGCAUUUAUUUGAGCAAAACCAGGCGGCUUCGGCCGUUUCUGUUGAAUCAGAAUAACUAAGCUGAUCGCAUGGGCUUGUCCCGGCGACGUGUCUUUCAAGUGUCUGCCUUAUCAACUUUCGAUGGUAGUGUACGUGACUACCAUGGUGUUGACGGGUAACGGAGGAUAAGGGUUCGACUCCGGAGAAGGGGCCUGAGAAAUGGCCACUACGUCUAAGGAUGGCAGCAGGCGCGCAAAUUACCCACUCUCGGUUCGAGGAGGUAGUGACGAAAAAUAACAAGGCCGUUCUCUUUGAGGCCGGCCAUUGGAAUGGGUACAACUUAAACCCUUUAACGAGUAUCAAUGAGAGGGCAAGUCUGGUGCCAGCAGCCGCGGUAAUUCCAGCUCUCAAAAUGCAUAGAACCAUUGCUGCGGUUAAAAAGCUCGUAGUUGGAUCUGUGCCGGCGACGUGGUCCGCCCUAACGGGCGGUACUGCGCUCGUCGGCUUUGGGCCGGUUUUCGGUCGGUCGCCUUCACUGGCGGCCGCUCGUGGCUGGCUGGUUUACUUUGAGCAAAUCAGAGUGCUCAGCACAGGCGUCUCGCCGGAAUGUUCGUGCAUGGAAUAAUAGAAAAGGAUUUCGGUCCUCUUUUAUUGGUUUUGUGGACUGAGAUAAUGGUUAACAGAGACGGACGGGGGCAUUCGUAUUGCUGCGUGAGAGGUGAAAUUCUUGGACCGCAGCAGGACGGA